rnacentral:rRNA from 1 species
UUAUGAUCCUUAAAUUCAAAGAAUUUGGCGGUAAUUAAGUCUUUUUAGAGGAACCUGUUCUGUAAUUGAUAAUCCACGAUUGAUUUUACUUUUAUUUUAUUUGUAUACCUCUGUCAUUGAAUGUAUUUUAAGAUAAAUUUUCUUUAUUAUUUUUGUGAAUAGAUGUUAGGUCAAGGUGCAGUUUUUGUAAAAGUAGAAAUGGGUUACAAUAAUAUUUUUUGAAUAUUUUAUUUGUAAUAUUAAGUUGAAAUUGGAUUUAAAAGUAACAUUGUUUAGAAUUUUCAUUGUGAUUAUAGCUCUUAAUUAU